rnacentral:rRNA from 1 species
UCCUACGGGAGGCAGCAGUGGGGAAUCUUGCGCAAUGGGGGAAACCCUGACGCAGCAACGCCGCGUGUGUGAAGAAGGCCUUCGGGUCGUAAAGCACUGUCAGGAGGGAAGAAAACCGGCAUUGGUCCGGCUUGACGGUACCUCCUAAGGAAGCACCGGCUAACUCCGUGCCAGCAGCCGCGGUAAUACGGAGGGUGCAAGCGUUGUUCGGAAUCAUUGGGCGUAAAGCGCGCGCAGGCGGCCUUUUAAGUCCAGUGUGAAAUCCCGGGGCUCAACCCCGGAGGUGCAUUGGAAACUGGAAGGCUUGAGUCCGAGAGAGGUUGGUGGAAUUCGUGGUGUAGGGGUGAAAUCCGUAGAUAUCACGAGGAACACCAGUGGCGAAGGCGACUGACUAGAUCGGAACUGACGCUGAGGCGCGAAAGCAUGGGGAGCAAACAGGAUUAGAUACCCUGGUAGUCCAUGCUGUAAACGAUGUUCACUAGUUGCUGGCUCAAUUGAGAGUCAGUGACGCAGCUAACGCACUAAGUGAACCGCCUGGGGAGUACGGCCGCAAGGUUAAAACUCAAAGGAAGUGACGG